rnacentral:sRNA from 1 species
CGUUAAUUGCUAAACAAUCAAUUGUCCAAGCUCAAACAAAGUGUUAUUCGUCUCGUUACUUGACGACAUUUGUGAACCUACGGCCUAUUUAGCAGUUCUUUCGGUUUGGUUCGAGUUUAAUUAUCGGUAACGACGAAGAAAACUUCAAAACCACUCAUUCGAAUGGUGGUCCUCCUUCUCAUGUGCGGACAUCUAGUCAAUCGUAACGUGAAUAGAGAGAUUAUUCCAUGGGCGGAGACAUCUCCUUGGCCCCUCAAAGCAACAGUAGCAGGUUCUUCAAAAGAAAUACCGGCCCAGUUGUAUUUAAAUCCCUAGUAACUCUGGACAAAUUACCCUUCCGGUUGGGAAUCCAAGUAUACAUGGAAGAGGACUCUGCCAUCUUCCUUGUAUUCAGUGAUGGCUCCGGCCAGGCCCAGGUAGCAAAAGUAUUUUCAUUGGACAGGAGUUGAGCGUUACGUUGGGAGUAAACGAGCAAACCAUCGAGUGCAGGGUAUGAUUGGAGGGCAGAAUCUGUACCGGCGGUGUGGUUGGGGUUGGAUACAAAGGCUCGAGAGACGUUGCUAAUGGUUUCUCCAAUAGAGCGGGCAGCGUUGCCGUGGAGGGAAUGACUUCGAUCUUGCCGUCGUCGGUGCGGGAGAUGUAUCGAGCAUCGUGCUGGUAAGCGAAUCGAGCUUCAGGUUCGGUUUUGAAAGAAGGAUCAGUUGUGGAAACCACCCAGUCGUCAGACGGCACCUCCGCUAGUAUCGUUGACCUUGAAGAUAGAAGCAUAAUUUCGCGCAGAGAUGAAUGAAAUUCCC